GCAAUCUGUAUUGAAUUAACGCUACGUAUGAGUCGGCCAAUUUUGAUUUUGACUUGGUAUCGACCUCCUGAUUCGAAUGCAAAAGUAUUCGAUUUGUUUGAAGAAUUUCUGCAAAAGGCUGAGGCAGAACAUAAGGAAUUGAUUAUUCUAGGCGAUUUGAAUUGCGAUUUGUAUACAAAUACGGCAAGUUCAAGUACAAAAAAAUUAAUUGAAUUAUUGGAUGUUUAUCAGUUAAAACAACUCAUUAAGAAACCUACACGUGUAACAGCUAAAACAAGAACAUUAGCCUGCGAACAGGCUCUCAAGCUGAAUUGGGAGCCUGCAUCGAUGACUAAUGAAUUUGAAUAUCUGCCCCGUAACGUUCGUUUUUCCAAAUAUGGAAUGUCUAUCCUUAUAUGGUGUUGUUUACAACUUUCGUGCAAACUAAAUUUAGACCGUGCAAACUAAAUUUAGACCGUACAGUUUAUACUGUUUUUCGAAAUAUAAGAUAUUCAAGCAAAAGUUCAAAUGUUUUAAAUACUGUUUUCUCAAAACAGAACAUUUCGUGCUUUGAGAUAAGAUGGCCAAGAC